rnacentral:rRNA from 1 species
GCUACGGGUGGCUGCAGUGAGGAAUAUUGGUCAAUGGGCGCAAGCCUGAACCAGCCAAGUAGCGUGCAGGAUGACUGCCCUACGUGUUGUAAACUUCUUUUAUAAAGGAAUAAAGUGAGGCACGUGUGCCUUUUUGUAUGUACUUUAUGAAUAAGGAUCGGCUAACUCCGUGCCAGCAGCCGCGGUAAUACGGAGGAUCCGAGCGUUAUCCGGAUUUAUUGGGUUUAACGGGAGCGUAGAUGGGUUGUUAAGUCAGUGGUGAAAGUUUGCGGCUCAACCGUAAAAUUGCAAUUGAUACUGGCAGUCUAGAGUACAGUUGAGGUAGGCGGAAUGCGUGGUGUAGCGGUGAAAUGCUUAGAGAUCACGAAGAACUCCGAUUGCGAAGGCAGCUUACUAAGCUGCCACUGACAUUGAUGCUCGAAAGUGUGGGGAUCAAACAGGAUUAGAUACCCUGGUAGUC